rnacentral:rRNA from 1 species
GAUCAUGGCUCAGGAUGAACGCUAGCUACAGGCUUAACACAUGCAAGUCGAGGGGCAGCAUAUCGAAAGCUUGCUUUGAUGAUGGCGACCGGCGCACGGGUGAGUAACGCGUAUCCAACCUUCCCUAUACUAGAGGAUAGCCCGGCGAAAGUCGGAUUAAUACUCUAUGUUGUAUUUCGAGGACAUCUGAAUAAUACCAAAGGUUUACCGGUAUAGGAUGGGGAUGCGUCUGAUUAGGUUGUUGGCGGGGUAACGGCCCACCAAGCCCACGAUCAGUAGGGGUUCUGAGAGGAAGGUCCCCCACAUUGGAACUGAGACACGGUCCAAACUCCUACGGGAGGCAGCAGUGAGGAAUAUUGGUCAAUGGACGAGAGUCUGAACCAGCCAAGUAGCGUGCAAGGAUGACGGCCCUAUGGGUUGUAAACUGCUUUUAUACAGGGAUAAAGUGCACUACGUGUAGUGUUUUGUAGGUACUGUAUGAAUAAGGACCGGCUAAUUCCGUGCCAGCCGCAGC